rnacentral:rRNA from 1 species
GAGACUGCCAGUGAUAAACUGGAGGAAGGUGGGGAUGACGUCAAGUCAUCAUGGCCCUUACGACCAGGGCUACACACGUGCUACAAUGGCGCAUACAAAGAGAAGCGACCUCGCGAGAGCAAGCGGACCUCAUAAAGUGCGUCGUAGUCCGGAUUGGAGUCUGCAACUCGACUCCAUGAAGUCGGAAUCGCUAGUAAUCGUGGAUCAGAAUGCCACGGUGAAUACGUUCCCGGGCCUUGUACACACCGCCCGUCACACCAUGGGAGUGGGUUGCAAAAGAAGUAGGUAGCUUAACCUUCGGGAGGGCGCUUACCACUUUGUGAUUCAUGACUGGGGUGAAGUCGUAACAAGGUAACCGUAGGGGAACCUGCGGUUGGAUCACCUCCUUACCUGAAAGAA